UACGAAGGGGGCUAGCGUUGCUCGGAAUCACUGGGCGUAAAGCGCACGUAGGCGGAUUGCUAAGUCAGGGGUGAAAUCCUGGAGCUCAACUCCAGAACUGCCUUUGAUACUGGCGAUCUCGAGUCCGGGAGAGGUGAGUGGAACUGCGAGUGUAGAGGUGAAAUUCGUAGAUAUUCGCAAGAACACCAGUGGCGAAGGCGGCUCACUGGCCCGGUACUGACGCUGAGGUGCGAAAGCGUGGGGAGCAAAUAGG
rnacentral:rRNA from 1 species